rnacentral:other from 1 species
UCCCUGGUGUGUUGGCCAGUCGGUGAUGUCCCUGAGCCGAUAACUGCAACAACGGAGGUUGCCAGUUGGACCGGUGUGCAUGUCCGCACGACGGAAAGCCUUAAGGUCUACUGCAACCGCCACCUUGAACUUUCGGGUUCAAGGGCUAACCCGACAGCGGCACGACCGGGGA